ensembl:snRNA U1 U1 spliceosomal RNA
GUACUUACCUGGCAGGGGAGAUACCAUGAUCGCGAAGGGGGUUUUCCCAGGGCAACGCUUAUCCAUUGCACUCCGGAUGUGCCGACCCCUGCGAUUUCCCCAAACGUGGGAAACUCGACUGCAUAAUUUAUGGUAGUGGGGGACUGCGUUCAUGCUUUCCUCUG